rnacentral:rRNA from 1 species
GAUGAACGCUAGCUACAGGCUUAACACAUGCAAGUCGAGGGGCAGCAUGAACUUAGCUUGCUAAGUUUGAUGGCGACCGGCGCACGGGUGAGUAACACGUAUCCAACCUGCCGAUGACUCGGGGAUAGCCUUUCGAAAGAAAGAUUAAUACCCGAUGGCAUAGUUCUUCCGCAUGGUAGAACUAUUAAAGAAUUUCGGUCAUCGAUGGGGAUGCGUUCCAUUAGGUUGUUGGCGGGGUAACGGCCCACCAAGCCUUCGAUGGAUAGGGGUUCUGAGAGGAAGGUCCCCCACAUUGGAACUGGGACACGGUCCAAACUCCUACGGGAGGCAGCAGUGAGGAAUAUUGGUCAAUGGACGAGAGUCUGAACCAGCCAAGUAGCGUGAAGGAUGACUGCCCUAUGGGUUGUAACCUUCUUUUAUACGGGAAUAAAGUGAGGCACGUGUGCCUUUUUGUAUGUACCGUAUGAAUAAGGAUCGGCUAACUCCGUG